CCCUUAGAUGAUUUGGGCUGCGCGCGCGCUACACUGACCCUAACAAUGAGCAACUGUCUGGCCUGAGAUGGCUGGGUAGCCUUUUCAACCCAUGUCAUGAUUGGGCUAGAUUUUUGUAAGUCUUGAUCUCUAACGAGGAAUCCCUAGUAUGCGUGAAUCAUCAAUCCAUGCAGAUUACGUCCCUGCCCUUUGUACACACCGCCCGUCGCUCCUACCGAUUGGGUGAGCCGAUGAAACUCUCGGAUGUAGGCUAUUCAUAGCCCGCAGAAGAGAUUUGAAUCGUAGCGCUUAGAGGAAGGAGAAGUCGUAACA
rnacentral:rRNA from 1 species